GAUGAACGCUGGCGGCGUGCCUAACACAUGCAAGUCGAACGUGAAGAUACCAACUGUUAGCAAUAACAAGCGGUAUCGGAAAGUGGCGAACGGGUGAGUAACACGUGGGUAACCUGCCGC
rnacentral:rRNA from 1 species